rnacentral:rRNA from 1 species
AAUAUUGGACAAUGGGGGCAACCCUGAACCAGCCAUGCCGCGUGUGUGAAGAAGGUCUUCGGAUUGUAAAGCACUUUAAGUAGGGAGGAAGGGCUUUAGGUUAAUACUCUGAAGUUUUUACGUUACCAACAGAAUAAGCAACGGCUAACCUUGUGCCAGCAGCCGCGGUAAUACAGUGGGUGCAAGCGUUAAACGGAAUUACUGGGCGUAAAGCGAGCGUAAGUAGGUCAGUAAGAUGGGUGGUAAAUCCCCGGGCUUAACCUGGGAACUGCUUUCAUAACUGCUGAGAUAAGGUACGGUAGGGGGUAGAGGAAUUUCCUGUGUAACGGGGAAAUGCGUAGGUAUAGGAAGGAACACAAGUGGCGAAGGCGACUACCUGGACUGAUACUGACACUGAUUUGCGAAAGCGUGGGGAGCAAAC